CUUUAAUUUCACUGAAAAUUUAAAUUACCAAAUUGGUUUUUCAGUGCUUAGACGCCCCGCCCCCCGCCUCCCUCCUCUUUCUCUCACUCUUCUCUCUCCUCUUGCUUUUCCUCCUUUUCCACCUUGCUCUUGAAACACUAGAUUGUUUUAAUUCUUCUCAAGUAAACAACUGUUGUUGUUCUGGAUAUGGAUAUGGCUUGAAGAAGUGGGUUCCAGUAAGUCUGCGUUGCUUCUCAAUGGCUUGUUAAAUAUUCUGUGAUCUUUUAAUUUAGUGACUAGAGAGAUUGCAUGAACUUCGUCUCUGUGAGUUGUUGCAUUCCAGUUAAUGGAUUAUGACAUUUCUUCCUUAUCCUUUGGCAUGUUUGAAAAGAAUUCUUACAUUUCCUAUCCAGUUCCAGAGUCAGCAACAGAGCCUCUGUUUUUCUUGUUGAAGUCCUUGUUUGCAUCCUGUAAGGAGGAGAAAAACUUGAUUAUCUGUUAGAAGCUUGCAGUGAUAAUCUUUUAAUGUUUAUCUCACAGGAAAGUUUGUAAAGAAGCUAAAUUUGUAUAUCGGUUUCUCUGUGAGUAUGGUGCCCUUCAUUUUUGAUCCAGGUACAUGGCAGGACGCAGGAAAUUAGAUUCUGAAAUUGAACUAGGUCGUUGAGCAGUGAGAUGUGGGGAUUAUAAAAAUUUCUGCUUUUAGUUAUUUUUGUUCUGUGCACUCCUGUUAAGUUCUUAUUUUAUAUCCUCUUACCGGCUAGGUUAGGUUAUCUUGUUUUAAUAUCUAGUGGUGAUGUCUUGACAUCACAGUAUCACAG
rnacentral:misc_RNA from 1 species